AAUGUUACGACACUGCUGUGAUGUAACACUGUCGUGAAAUGACACAGACUAAGCAUUAAGUUGAUCGUGAUUCUUAUCAGUAACAUAUUGGUGACCAGGUACAUAGUCAGGUCAUAGAUAGGACAACUGGUAUGCAUACUGUACCUAGUCUUGAGGUCACGAUCUGCUUCAGUAUGGUACCCACAUUGGCAUGUCUGAUGCUGAUGACUUCCGUGUUGUUGCCGACUUAUGUCAGUCCCAGUCCAUUAGACUCAGAAUUUCUAGAAGAAAUGUACGCAUGCGAUCCUCCCUGUCUCCCCGACGAGUGUUGCAUCCACGAGUGGAUUCCAGACAGCCAGAUCGGUAGGCGGGUCUCGAACUAUCCUUUCCGGAUUGACAACAAACGAACCUUAAUCACACAUUGUGAGUCGCUGAAAAGCGAGGGCGACGCGUGUGUUGUACAAAAUAACGCUGAGAUAUGUCCAUGUGGCCGGAAUCUCGUGUGUGUUCAUAACCAGGGAAACCUUGGUUUGUAUUUCGGUACGUGUAGACCUUAAUGAUACAUGCGCACUUGACAUAAUAUUUUCGUUGAUCUGAAGAGUUUUCCUUUAUGAUGAAUAUUUGAUAAGUGUAAUCAGCAGCUGUCUAGACGUCCCCAUUAUGUAGAUGUUUCGUCCGGAGUAACCUAGUACAUGGAGAGUACAAUUAUCCUUCCCACAAAGCUGGUUACAUCAAUUAAGAAACAUGCGAUUGGACUAAUAUAACGAAAU